GGAACCAUGGUGUAGUGGUUAUCACAUCUGCCUAACACGCAAAAGGUCCCAUUUCGAGCCUGGGUUAUGUCA
rnacentral:tRNA from 1 species